UACGAAGGGUGCAAGCGUUAAUCGGAAUUACUGGGCGUAAAGCGUGCGUAGGCGGUUCGUUAAGUCUGAUGUGAAAGCCCUGGGCUCAACCUGGGAAUGGCAUUGGAUACUGGCGGGCUAGAGGGCGGUAGGGGGGUGCGGAAUUCCCGGUGUAGCGGUGAAAUGCGUAGAGAUCGGGAGGAACAUCUGUGGCGAAGGCGGCACCCUGGACCAGCACUGACGCUGAGGCACGAAAGCGUGGGGAGCAAAUAGG
rnacentral:rRNA from 1 species